rnacentral:rRNA from 1 species
GAUGAACGCUGGCGGCGUGCCUAAUACAUGCAAGUCGAGCGAACGGACGAGAAGCUUGCUUCUCUGAUGUUAGCGGCGGACGGGUGAGUAACACGUGGAUAACCUACCUAUAAGACUGGGAUAACUUCGGGAAACCGUAGCUAAUACCGGAUAAUUUUUUGAACCGCAUGGUUCAAAAGUGAAAGACGGUCUUGCUGUCACUUAUAGAUGGAUCCGCGCUGCAUUAGCUAGUUGGUAAGGUAACGGCUUACCAAGGCAACGAUGCAUAGCCGACCUGAGAGGGUGAUCGGCCACACUGGAACUGAGACACGGUCCAGACUCCUACGGGAGGCAGCAGUAGGGAAUCUUCCGCAAUGGGCGAAAGCCUGACGGAGCAACGCCGCGUGAGUGAUGAAGGUCUUCGGAUCGUAAAACUCUGUUAUUAGGGAAGAACAUAUGUGUAAGUAACUGUGCACAUCUUGACGGUACCCAAUCAGAAAGCCACGGCUAACUACGUG